UACGUAUGGGGCGAGCGUUGUUCGGAGUUAUUGGGCGUAAAGGGCGUGUAGGCGGCCCAUCAAGUCUGGUGUGAAAGCGCAGGGCUCAACCCUGCGUAGGCGCUGGAAACUGGCGGGCUUGAGUUUCGAGGGGGAAGCUGGAAUUCCUGGUGUAGGGGUGAAAUCUGUAGAUAUCAGGAAGAACACCGGUGGCGAAGGCGAGCUUCUACUCGUGAACUGACGCUGAGGCGCGAAAGCGUGGGGAGCAAACAGG
rnacentral:rRNA from 1 species